ACCUCAAUUCUCCAGGCGGGAUCCUGACUUCAACAAUAUAACAACCUCCGUUCUGCAGGCAGGAUUCUGACUUUAGCAACAACUUAAAUGUAACACCUCCAUUCUCCAGGCGGGCUCCUGACUUCAACAACUUUUAAAAUUAUAACAACCUCCGUUCUCCAGGCGGGCUCCUGACUUCAAUAACUUCUUAAAUUUUAUCACCUCCAUUCUCCAGGCGGGCUCCUGACUUCUUCAACCUCUUCAAAAUUUUAUCACCUCCAUUCUCCAGGCGGGCUCCUGACUUCAACAACUCCUUAAAAAUAACACCUCCAUUCUCCAGGCGGGCUCCUGACUUUUCAACUAAAAAAAAAUAUAACAACCUCUGUUCUCCAGGCGGGCUCCUGACUUCUUCAACUUUCUCAAAAAUUUCAUAACCUCCAUUCUCCAGGCGGGCUCCUGACUUCUUCAACUUAAAAUUUAACAACCUCCGUUCUACAGGCGGGCUCUUAACUUCUUCAACUUAAAAUAUAUCAACCUCCGUUCUCCAGGCGGGCUCCUGACUUCAACAACUUCUUAAAUUCUAUCACCUCUAUUCUCCAGGCGGGCUCCUGACUUC
rnacentral:lncRNA from 1 species